rnacentral:rRNA from 1 species
CACGUAGUUAGCCGGGGCUUCCUCCAAGGGUACCGUCAUUAUCUUCCCCAAGGACAGAAGUUUACGAUCCGAAGACCUUCUUCCUUCACGCGGCGUUGCUGCAUCAGGCUUUCGCCCAUUGUGCAAUAUUCCCCACUGCUGCCUCCCGUAGGAGUUUGGACCGUGUCUCAGUUCCAAUGUGGCCGAUCACCCUCUCAGGUCGGCUACUGAUCGUCGCCUUGGUAGGCCGUUACCCCACCAACUAGCUAAUCAGACGCAGGCCCAUCCUUUGCCGAUAAAUCUUUGACCAAACAGCCAUGUGACUAUUUAGUAUUAUGAGGUUUUAAUCAUCGUUUCCAAUGGCUAUCCCUCUGCAAAGGGCAGGUUGCCUACGCGUUACUCACCCGUCCGCCGCUCUCCAUCUUAAAAAUCUACCGAAGCUUCAUUUUAAAAUUUCCCGCUCGACUUGCAUGUGUUAGGCACGCCGCCAGCGUUCAUCCUGAGCCAGGAUCAAACUCU